GAUGAACGCUGGCGGCGUGCCUAAUACAUGCAAGUCGAGCGAAUGGAUUAAGAGCUUGCUCUUAUGAAGUUAGCGGCGGACGGGUGAGUAACACGUGGGUAACCUGCCCAUAAGACUGGGAUAACUCCGGGAAACCGGGGCUAAUACCGGAUAAUAUUUUGAACUGCAUGGUUCAAAAUUGAAAGGCGGCUUCGGCUGUCACUGCUGGAUGGACCCGCGUCGCAUUAGGUAGUUGGGGAGGUACCGGCUAACCAAGGCAACGAGGCGUAGCCGACCUGAGAGGGUGAUCGGCCACACUGGGACUGAGACACGGCCCAGACUCCUACGGGAGGCAGCAGUAGGGAAUCUUCCGCAAUGGACGAAAGUCUGACGGAGCAACGCCGCGUGAGUGAUGAAGGCUUUCGGGUCGUAAAACUCUGUUGUUAGGGAAGAACAAGUGCUAGUUGAAUAAGCUGGCACCUUGACGGUACCUAACCAGAAAGCCACGGCUAACUACGUGCCAGCCGCCGCAGUAA
rnacentral:rRNA from 1 species